rnacentral:tRNA from 1 species
AAGAUAUUAGUAAAAUGUAAAUUACACCACCUUGUCAAGGUGGUAUCACAGGUUAAACCCCUGUAUAUCUUA